rnacentral:rRNA from 1 species
GACGAACGCUGGCGGCGUGCUUAACACAUGCAAGUCGAACGAUGAACCCGGAGCUUGCUCCGGUGGAUUAGUGGCGAACGGGUGAGUAACACGUGAGUAACCUGCCCUUGACUCUGGGAUAACUGCGGGAAACUGUAGCUAAUACCGGAUACGACCCUCGGCGGCAUCGCCAGGGGGUGGAAAGAAUUUCGGUCAAGGAUGGACUCGCGGCCUCUCAGCUAGUUGGUGAGGUAACGGCUCACCACGGCGACGACGGGUAGCCGGCCUGGGAGGGAGACCGACCACACUGGGACUGAGACACGGACCAGACUACUACGGGAGGCAGCAGUGGAGAGUAUUGCACAAUGGGCGCAAGCCUGAGGCAGCAACGCCGCGUGAGGGAUGACGGCCUUCGGGUUGUAAUCCUCUUUUAGUAGGGAAGAAGCGAAAGUGACGGUACCUGCAGAAAAAGCACCGGCUAACUACGUGCCAGCCGCCGCCGUA